UACGUAGGGGGCAAGCGUUGUCCGGAAUCAUUGGGCGUAAAGCGCGUGUAGGCGGUUCGGCAAGUCCGCUGUGAAAGUCGGGGGCUCAACCCUCGGAUGCCGGUGGAUACUGUCGAGCUUGAGUACGGAAGAGGCGAGUGGAAUUCCUGGUGUAGCGGUGAAAUGCGCAGAUAUCAGGAGGAACACCGGUGGCGAAGGCGGCAUCCUGGACCGGCAUUGACGCUGAGGCGCGAAAGCUAGGGGAGCAAACGGG
rnacentral:rRNA from 1 species